GUCCCAGACCGAUAGUGAACAAGUACCGGUCCCAGACCGAUAGCGAACAAGUAGAGUGAUCGAAAGAUGAAAAGCACUUUGAAAAGAGAGUUAAACAGCACGUGAAAUUGUUGAAAGGGAAGCGCUUGCGACCAGACUCGCCCGCGGGGUUCAGCCGGCAUUCGUGCCGGUGUACUUCCCCGUGGGCGGGCCAGCGUCGGUUUGGGCGGCCGGUCAAAGGCCCCUGGAAUGUAGUACCCUCCGGGGUACCUUAUAGCCAGGGGUGCAAUGCGACCAGCCUGGACCGAGGAACGCGCUUCGG
rnacentral:rRNA from 1 species